CCUGCCAUUUGUGACCAUAUGGAUGGACCUUGAGGGCAUGAGGCUAAAUAAGAUAAAUCAGAGAAAGACAAAGCCUGUACAGUAUCACUUCUAUGUGGAACCUAAAACUACUGAACUCAUAGAAACAGAGAGUAGAAGGGUGGUUACCAGUGGCUGAGCAGUGGGGGAAAUGGAGAAAUGUUGGUCAAAGGGUACAAACUUCCAGCUAUACGAUGAUGUCCACGCAUCAGGAAUGGGGCAGGACGUGUUGGACAUGCCUUUCCUCCGCAAUGCCUGCGGCCUCAGGUGGAACACUCAAAGUCUGGGGGCAGAAAUCACCGGAAGAUUUACUCACAUACAUCUAGUGGUUGAUUCUGGCCUUGGGUCACAGAUCUGGCCAGUCCCAGGCUUCCUUACAUCAUAGCUCUGGAUUCUGAGGAUAGGAUUUGGAAUUGAAUCCCAGUAUUAUUUUCAAGGGACAUCGUGUGAAUACUGAUGCAUCUAAAUCCCAGGUAACAAUAAGUUACAGUUAAUAGGUUUGUACUACAUCAAAUGCAUACUUACUACAGGUACCUGCAGAGAAUUCCUGACAAAUGCCAACUAUAAAAGAAAUGUUAACUGCGCAUUUAACAGAUGGAAUUUUAGAGACAAUGUAUUACUGACUAAUACCCCGCUGAUACGCUUUAUUUCCUCAAAUAACACGCAACAGUUUCCAUCAUUUAAAUAAUAAUGACUCAUGAGAAUUCUUCCACUAUUAGAGUCAGAAGAUUGCAGGAAGCCCGAAAGGAUACUGAAUGACCACCGCGUUCCUCCACUUUUCAGGCAGCUUGUCACUUGAUGGACUAGUAUCAGUUGCUUUCCAGUCUCACCAAAGGUGAGACUCCUACAGAGUCAUUGCUUUAGCUCUGUUGUCAUUCGAGGAAAUAGUCUGGUGCCCCUUCAUAGAGAACGCCUGGCUUUCCUGAGUUCCCAGCAAUGCGGACAACCCAUGUUCAAAUUCAUAAGAGAAACUCCUCAGACUUUGAACACUCUAGACUCUGUGUCAGCAGUAACUGGGCAAGACCACAUCACCAGAGGCUUAGGAGUCAAAGGAGCAAAAAUGAAACCAUAAUCAUUAAAUACUAAUGACAACUUAAUUACUUUCUCAGAGAAACAGAACCAUUUGAGACCAUCGGAAAGCAGAAAGUGAGAUAAUAAUUCAGCAAGAGCUUUCAUGCUGUUCGAUGCUAAGAGUAUCUCAUGGGUGUGCCCAGCCUCUGCCCAUUGUCCUCUAAAGUUAAUAUGUGCCUUUCCAGGACCUCGGGGACUCAUUUACAAAUAGUUACAAACAAACAGAUUUCCUUUCUGAAUAGCUGGACUUCUGAUACUACUUAUAGAACAUGUGUAUGACCCACACAUCAGAUUGCUAGGAUUUUAAGGACUCUUAGCCACUUAUAUAACACACGAUAAGAAGUUGGCAAAUUGAUUUACAAAAGAUGAAAGCUCGAGGUAGGACUGGCCACAUAUUGGGGAAUGCUGUGGUCAGUGCAUUUGGCCAACAUCAGUCCUGCAGCGCAGGGCCGGAAGUACAUCCCUCUUAGCCCUUGGGAAAAUGGAGUUGCCUGUGGCUCUGAUUCAUGGUUCCUAUACAUCCCCAGAGCUGGGCCUAUAUCCUGUAGUUAAAGCUUCAAAGGAAAACGCAAGUCUUCUAUCAGGGAGAACUGAUUGUGGAGCUCAAGCUCUUAUUUGGAGAAAAAUCUGUGCCUGUUCUGAUAUGGGUAGUCUGUCAGACUUCAUGGACUAGUAUCUGAGUCCCAGGGACAAGGGGCUGAAAGCAGAAAAGACCAAGGGUAGUGUGACUCCCAAGUCUCCAUGGGGUUCUGGGGGCAUUCUU